AUAAAUAAACAAGUUGUUUUUAAAUCUUUUCCAUCUUAUUACAUUUUUUUUGCUAAUGGCAAAAGGGGGAAGAUAACGGGUAUGCACUCUCAAUACUUAUCGGCAUAUAUUAAGGGGGAACAAAACAAAUUGCAUAUCCAUAUACUUAUUGCAUAUCUUUUCUUGUCUUGAAUUGUCAUUAUGAAUUGCUUAAUAUGCAUAUCCCGCUUAAAGUUUGCCAUUAUCAAAAAGGGGGAAAUUGUUGGAAACACGUUCUCAAAGCAU
rnacentral:lncRNA from 1 species